GACGAACGCUGGCGGCGUGCCUAAUACAUGCAAGUCGAACGCAUUUUCUUUCACCGUAGCUUGCUACACCGAAAGAAAAUGAGUGGCGAACGGGUGAGUAACACGUGGGUAACCUGCCCAUCAGCGGGGGAUAACACUUGGAAACAGGUGCUAAUACCGCAUAAUUCCAUUUACCGCAUGGUAAAUGGAUGAAAGGCGCUUUUGCGUCACUGAUGGAUGGACCCGCGGUGCAUUAGCUAGCUGGUGGGGUAACGGCCUACCAAGGCUGCGAUGCAUAGCCGACCGGAGAGGGUGAUCGGCCACACUGGGACUGAGACACGGCCCAGACUCCUACGGGAGGCAGCAGUAGGGAAUCUUCGGCAAUGGACGCGAGUCUGACCGAGCAACGCCGCGUGAGUGAAGAAGGUUUUCGGAUCGUAAAACUCUGUUGUUAGAGAAGAACAAGGAUGAGAGUGGAAAGUUCAUCCCUUGACGGUAUCUAACCAGAAAGCCACGGCUAACUACGUG
rnacentral:rRNA from 1 species